GACGAACGCUGGCGGCGUGCCUAAUACAUGCAAGUAGGACGCAGUUUCGAACGGGUGAGUAACGCGUAGGUAACUGCCUAUUAGAGGGGGAUAACUAUUGGAAACGAUAGCUAAUACCGCAUACUAGUAGAUGGACCUGCGUUGUCUUAGCUAGUAGGUAGGGUAAUGGCCUACCAGGGCCACGAUGCAUAGCCGACCUGAGAGGAUAAUAGGCAACACUGAGACUGGAACGCGGCCCAGACUCCUACGGAAGGAAGAAGUAGGGAAUCUUCGGCAAUGGACGAAAGUCUGACCGGGCAACGCCGCGUGAGUGAAGAAGGUUUUCGGAUCGUAAAACUCUGUUGUUAGAGAAGCGGUAUCUAACCAGAAAGCCACGGCUAACUACGUGCCAGCAGCCGCGGUAAUUC
rnacentral:rRNA from 1 species